UCGCAGCCGUCCCCCGUUAGAUUCACCUCGUGAGCCAGGUCCCCUUCUCUCCUCCAGCUCCAUAUCGCUGCGCGCUCACCGUCACUCCCAUCGUUACCCGCGGUGGCGGAUCCACCGUGCCCAUGCCGAGAUGGACGUCCUCGGCGGUGGCGGCGCCCGUCCUGGGGCACAUCUAUCUUCUCCAGACGGCACCAGAUCCCCCCUCGCCCCGGCUCCCUGAACUGGUGACUUCACCGAGUCCGCGCGGCCCGAGUCAUACGGCAUCAGAUCGAGACGAUGCCGGAUUCAGGUGUGUAGCCCGAGCCAACACUGGAGCAUGAUCUGGACGGGUCGGAGGUGGAUCACAACAUCGAUAUGUUGCCUCUGAAUUCGCUUACGGCGGGCGGCUACAAAGCCACGACGAAAUCGCUUAUGCAUUCUCCUCUCAGAUCCCAUCGAACCUCUUUCCCUCGAUUUCUCUCUCGUGAAUCCCAGCAGACGACGACGUCGACGGUACGUUGCCUCCGUAGCGGAGGACCUGCGGAUUGCCUUUCGAGUCUUCGGCUGGGUCUUCCUCACCGACACCGGCGUAGGCACCGACCGGACUUCACCGACAAGUACUACUCUACGCGGACAAGAAGAACCCCAAGGAGAAUCUCUGGGUUGUGAUGUAGCGCCCGGUGGAGGUUGUCAUGGCAGAGGCAAGGCCUCCAACCGGGUCAGUCACUGCUCCACCUCUUCAUUGUUAACUGACUGCAAUUUGCUACUCCUUGCUUGUGACGUGAAAUUAAAUUAUGUUGACUAUGUUUUGUCUACUGGAAUAUGCAUCUGAUUAUGAUAGUUCUGCUAAAAUUAGCAUUCUUUUUGUUGCAAAGAAAAUGUAAAUUAAGACCAAUUAUUUUAAGCAUAGUGUUUUAGCUUACCUCUUUUUGAGUACCAUGCGAACUGUUUUAUUUGCAGUACUGAGAAUAUUUCCACUGGUAUUGAUCAGAACAUCUCUAGUCACAGUAAGAAGUAGCAGAAUUUGGUUACAGUAAGUGAUGUUUUUAAUUUGGUUAUUAUACUACUCCCUCCGGUUCAUAUUAAUUGACUCUAAUAUGGAUGUAUCUAGACACAUUUUAGUUCUAGAUACAUCCAUAUUGAAGUCAAUUAAUAUGGAUCGGAGGGAGUAGAAUAAUGCAGUGACAUGAGAUGAGAUGUUUGAAAACCUUGAAACUUGCUGUUGCAGGAUCUAUGCCUGCUGUUUGUUGUACAUUAUUAUUCUCCCGAAAACUUGUAGGGCUGUAGCAUCUCCUCACUAAUGCUAGUUUCAUGCACAAGCAGUUCUACCUAGACUUGUUCUGUGAGAACGGAUUGCGCAAAUGAUGUUCAGUCUUAACUUCCUCUCUGGUCUUCCUUUUUCAGAAUUGAUGGUUGCAUGUAUGCAUCAGAUAUCUCUGUUACUGCCAUGGUGUGCCAUGGUGAACUGCAUGUGACAUAUUAUAUAAUUCUCUUGCGUUAGCAUAAUUAAGAUACUCUUUUCUGGCCUGCUUCUGCUUGCAAUAUGGCAACUCAUGUCAAAGUUUUCAGGGCUAUUUUUUUCUAUUUCUUCUCAGUUUGAUAGUAAGAGUGUUAUUAUGCAAUUAUAGUUUCCGGCAAGUUUUCUUAAAAAUAAAAUCCUUACUUGCUUAUUAGGCGAUUUCGUUUUGCCAAGUUGAGAAAGCAAAGGAAGAUAUGCUGAACCAGCUAUACAGCUCAAUAAGGAUAGCUUUGAUGAAGGCAGCAAAGCUGUGUACAGAACCAAGCCGAGUACUCCUGACCAGGUCCACAUGCGUUUCUAGAAAUGUUCAGUUAACCUUGCAAUGACGGUGGACAAUAAAUGGCUGAGAAGAGUCCUUGUUAUUUCUGCAAGCAAUGCAUUUUUUGGUUGCUGGUUCUUAUGAAAUAUUGUUUUGUGUAGUGAA